CUCAGGAUGAACGCUAGCUACAGGCUUAACACAUGCAAGUCGAGGGGCAGCAUGGUCUUAGCUUGCUAAGGCCGAUGGCGACCGGCGCACGGGUGAGUAACGCGUAUCCAACCUGCCUUACACUCUUGGACAGCCUUCUGAAAGGGAGAUUAAUACAAGAUGUUAUCAUGAGUAAGCAUUUUCGCAUGAUUAAAGGUUUACCGGUGUAAGAUGGGGAUGCGUUCCAUUAGAUAGUAGGCGGGGUAACGGCCCACCUAGUCUUCGAUGGAUAGGGGUUCUGAGAGGAAGGUCCCCCACAUUGGAACUGAGACACGGUCCAAACUCCUACGGGAGGCAGCAGUGAGGAAUAUUGGUCAAUGGACGAGAGUCUGAACCAGCCAAGUAGCGUGAAGGAUGAAGGUUCUAUGGAUUGUAAACUUCUUUUAUACGGGAAUAAACGGAUCCACGUGUGGAUUUUUGCAUGUACCGUAUGAAUAAGGAUCGGCUAACUCCGUGCCAGCAGCCGCGGUAAUACGGAGGAUCCGAGCGUUAUCCGGAUUUAUUGGGUUUAAAGGGAGCGUAGAUGGGUUGUUAAGUCAGUUGUGAAAGUUUGCGGCUCAACCGUAAAAUUGCAAUUGAUACUGGCAGUCUUGAGUACAGUUGAGGUAGGCGGAAUUCGUGGUGUAGCGGUGAAAUGCUUAGAUAUCACGAAGAACUCCGAUUGCGAAGGCAGCUUACUAACCUGUAACUGACAUUGAUGCUCGAAAGUGUGGGUAUCAAACAGGAUUAGAUACCCUGGUAGUCCACACGGUAAACGAUGAAUACUCGCUGUAGGCGAUAUACAGUCUGCGGCCAAGCGAAAGCAUUAAGUAUUCCACCUGGGGAGUACGCCGGCGACGGUGAAACUCAAAGGAAUUGACGGGGGCCCCGCACAAGCGGAGGAACAUGUGGUUUAAUUCGAUGAUACGCGAGGAACCUUACCCGGGCUUAAAUUGCAACCGAAUAUGGCGGAAACGCUAUAGCUAGCAAUAGCGGUUGUGAAGGUGCUGCAUGGUUGUCGUCAGCUCGUGCCGUGAGGUGUCGGCUUAAGUGCCAUAACGAGCGCAACCCUUGCCGAUAGUUACUAACAGGUCAUGCUGAGGACUCUGUCGGGACUGCCAUCGUAAGAUGUGAGGAAGGUGGGGAUGACGUCAAAUCAGCACGGCCCUUACGUCCGGGGCUACACACGUGUUACAAUGGGGGGUACAGAGGGCUGCUACCACGCAAGUGGAUGCCAAUCCCAAAAACCUCUCUCAGUUCGGAUUGAAGUCUGCAACCCGACUUCAUGAAGCUGGAUUCGCUAGUAAUCGAACAUCAGCCACGGCGCGGUGAAUACGUUCCCGGGCCUUGUACACACCGCCCGUCAAGCCAUGGGAGCCGGGGGUACUAGAAGUGCGUAACCGCAAGGAGCGCCCUAGGGUA
rnacentral:rRNA from 1 species